UUCAUUUUGGGGUGUAAAAAAAGCUCUUCAGAAGAAAACUGAAAUGUCCUGAGUCAUCCAGUGAGAGCUGACACUAGCUCCUCUUUUCAAAGUCUUAUUAUCUCUGCCUCUGAGCUUCAAAACUAUAGCUACUUUCAACUAUGAUGUCUCAGCUGACAGGGUCCAGAACUGUGAUCUUGUCAACAGAGCCCAGAAUGGAAGAAAUCUUCCUUAUGCGGUCUGUCCUCUUUGGGGGAACCCUGCAAAAUGGACUUCUUCCUAGUUUGUAGAAGGAGCAUUUUUAAGGGAUUAAAAAUUAUUCAGCUUCCACUUGGCAUCUGAAUUUUGAAUUCACAAGCUGGGUCGUUCUCUCCAUACCCACACACACAGGAGGGCCAUGCUCUGUGUAACGUACAAAAACAUGUGCAGAGAAUUUAAGGAUGGCCCUAUCUUCCCGUAUCAUCAACAUACAUACAUACAUAGAUGUCGUCAAAGAUGUUGUCUCAUCAUGAGAACAAGACACAAGAUGUAAGAUGAGCUGCUUGCAGUCGAAAAAAAUUACACUCUUCUGAAACUCCCACUACUGUACGAUCCAGAGUGGAAUGUCUUCAUGCAAGAUGCUCCGUUCUUUUCAGGCCUAAAAACUGGUAAUUAGAGACUCUGAGGAGCUGCAGUACCAGCAGCCCUUUGAGAAUGUACCGUUGCUAACCAUUUUGGACCAGCUGGUCACAGCCUUAUGAACAGUUGCUAGAAAAAUAUUAUCCUUUUUUAUUCCAAGGGCGUAAUUUGCUGUGUCAUCAUUGCACACCAAAGUCUAAAAAGUAGAAUGUGAUUCAGAGGGUUUAUGGAACACAAGCUGCCUUCUAAGAAGGCAAAAAUCUCUGCUGAAGAGCAGUAAUGCUCCCAAGUAUGACUGAUAAGCAUGUUUUGUCUUGAACUAAAUGGCAAAAUAUGGACCCUGCACCAAAGCUUUGCUCAGCAUGAGGCAAAAUUCACUGGUUUGUCUGGUUUAUGGUGAUGAAAUCAUUACAGUGGGAAGAAAGGAAAAGACUUGCAAAAUUUCUGAGUUAUUCUCUCUGGAUAGCUUGGAAGGAAGGUCUGGUGUCAUCGUGAUAUUUGCCUAAUAAAGACAAAAUGGUCAAUUCAGAUGAAUGAGUGUACUCUCAAAUAUGCACGUGCGCAAAUAUGCUCCCCCCCUCCAACCCUCCACACCAAAUGGGUAGCUUAUGUGUGAAAAUUACAUUGGGAGCCAGGAACUCAAGCUUAGCGCUACCUUAUGGAGUAAUCUGGGGAAAACCAGCUGAGUGAGAAGAAUCCUCUCCUGCAAAAUGGGAGAGAAGAUACCCUGAAAACGCUUCCUCCGCUCUGCUACAGCCCACAGCAGUGAGAGCCUGGCAGAAGCGGUGCUGCAAGGGGCAGCUCGUUUGUAUCUGUUAUGCUUUUAAAACAUAAGGCAUUGGGACCUCUCUCUGGAUUCAGUGGCCUGCCAGAGUAAGAUACUGGUCAAGGUUGCUGUGGGAGUGUAACUGAUGCGCCUCAUUAGAGCUUGAGAUUGUGGCAGCGGGAGCAUUUAAUCAGGAAAGGAAGCAACCAGAUUUUUUCAUUUUCAACUUACCAAGCCAUGGUGCUGCCCAGCUGCCCUGCAGAAAUCUCGCAUGUCUCCCAUGAACCAGGCAGCAGCAAAUGAGCCCAUUAGGUAGUUCGUCCUGCUCAGAUGACCAGCUGGGUAACAGAGAAUCCUGACAUUUUAAACAGAACUGACAAUUCAACAGUAACUUCUACAGCUGUGAGAGAGUUCAUUAUGUCAAGGGACUGCAUCUACAAUGCACAAUGGAAGUGAAUCUGGGCAGGAUUUGAAUAAAAAGGAGCUAAGCUGUGUGGAGGGACAACAUGGAAGAUCAAAUGAAGAGCUGAGGAUGCCUUUGUGUGAAUACGAAUGCAUGAAAAGAGACUGUGGAUGGAACUGAAUUUCACCCAGGGAAGCGGCAUCCCCAUGCACAAGCACUGUGGGCUAAGCUUCCCUGUCGGACUUGGGUUUUGCCAAAGUGCAGCACAGCAUGAGGAAGUUUCAGGCAGAGCUGUGGUGCAGAGAAGCAACUCCGGAGGCCAAAUAAACUCAGAUAGUAUUAGACACCUAGAAAGAGCACACGUUUAUUUUUUUGUUUUUUUUUUUUUUUUUCAUUUAAUGGAUCCUAGAAGACAAACUCUCUGUUCAAGAAAAUCUGUCAAAGUAGGUUUCAACCAUGCUGUGCUGGCAUCCUCAGAAAGUCCUUGCCUAGAUGUCAGUUCAUUGUUACUAUUAAAAAAGGUGGGCACACGGUAGUGGACUGCAGGACGCAAGCUCAAAACAGUAAUUCAAAACUAUAUGAUGAUGUGGAUUAAGCUACUGGGUGACUUGUACAGUACCCUGGUGUUGCAUGACCUAACCUAACGAGAGAUGUAUGCAAGCAAAACCUGCAGUCAGAGUCCUUAGAAGGCAAAGAGCACAUUAAACCACAUCAAGGCCUCUGUGAGCUACUUCUAAAAUGUUAACAAGCAGCUUGCUUAAAGAGCAGUGGCAAUGAUAAGAGAGACAGAGAUAGAGAACGUAAUUGGCUAAAAAUAAUUUUACUGCCAGAAUGCUCUUUUGAACUGCUUACUGUAGUUUCACAGCAAGUUUUUUUGCAAUUUCAGGCUGUAUUUAGCAAAGUUUCAUUUGAAACAAAAAAUGAAGAGGAGAUAUUAUCCCAUAUGUCUACUAAAUACUAGCUGACAAGAGGAAAAUAUGACUGGGCCAGCAGCAUUACCGGCUUUAGAUCUCUUGGAAAAACUUAGAAUGGAUGAAAUGUAAGGGAGGGUGCAAAAGGUGUCUGAUGGCGUGUUA